rnacentral:rRNA from 1 species
AGAGUUUGAUCCUGGCUCAGGAUGAACGCUAGCUACAGGCUUAACACAUGCAAGUCGAGGGGCAGCAUGGUCUUAGCUUGCUAAGACUGAUGGCGACCGGCGCACGGGUGAGUAACACGUAUCCAACCUGCCGUCUACUCUUGGACAGCCUUCUGAAAGGAAGAUUAAUACAAGAUGGCAUCAUGAGUCCGCAUGUUCACAUGAUUAAAGGUAUUCCGGUAGACGAUGGGGAUGCGUUCCAUUAGAUAGUAGGCGGGGUAACGGCCCACCUAGUCUUCGACGGAUAGGGGUUCUGAGAGGAAGGUCCCCCACAUUGGAACUGAGACACGGUCCAAACUCCUACGGGAGGCAGCAGUGAGGAAUAUUGGUCAAUGGGCGAGAGCCUGAACCAGCCAAGUAGCGUGAAGGAUGACUGCCCUAUGGGUUGUAAACUUCUUUUAUAAAGGAAUAGAGUCGGGUAUGCAUACCCGUUUGCAUGUACUUUAUGAAUAAGGAUCGGCUAACUCCGUGCCAGCAGCCGCGGUAAUACGGAGGAUCCGAGCGUUAUCCGGAUUUAUUGGGUUUAAAGGGAGCGUAGAUGGAUGUUUAAGUCAGUUGUGAAAGUUUGCGGCUCAACCGUAAAAUUGCAGUUGAUACUGGAUAUCUUGAGUGCAGUUGAGGCAGGCGGAAUUCGUGGUGUAGCGGUGAAAUGCUUAGAUAUCACGAAGAACUCCGAUUGCGAAGGCAGCCUGCUAAGCUGCAACUGACAUUGAGGCUCGAAAGUGUGGGUAUCAAACAGGAUUAGAUACCCUGGUAGUCCACACGGUAAACGAUGAAUACUCGCUGUUUGCGAUAUACGGCAAGCGGCCAAGCGAAAGCGUUAAGUAUUCCACCUGGGGAGUACGCCGGCAACGGUGAAACUCAAAGGAAUUGACGGGGGCCCGCACAAGCGGAGGAACAUGUGGUUUAAUUCGAUGAUACGCGAGGAACCUUACCCGGGCUUAAAUUGCAGAUGAAUUACGGUGAAAGCCGUAAGCCGCAAGGCAUCUGUGAAGGUGCUGCAUGGUUGUCGUCAGCUCGUGCCGUGAGGUGUCGGCUUAAGUGCCAUAACGAGCGCAACCCUUGUUGUCAGUUACUAACAGGUUCUGCUGAGGACUCUGACAAGACUGCCAUCGUAAGAUGUGAGGAAGGUGGGGAUGACGUCAAAUCAGCACGGCCCUUACGUCCGGGGCUACACACGUGUUACAAUGGGGGGUACAGAGGGCCGCUACCACGCGAGUGGAUGCCAAUCCCCAAAACCUCUCUCAGUUCGGACUGGAGUCUGCAACCCGACUCCACGAAGCUGGAUUCGCUAGUAAUCGCGCAUCAGCCACGGCGCGGUGAAUGCGUUCCCGGGCCUUGUACACACCGCCCGUCAAGCCAUGGGAGCCGGGGGUACCUGAAGUGCGUAACCGCGAGGAGCGCCCUAGGGUAAAACUGGUGACUGGGGCUAAGUCGUAACAAGGUA